rnacentral:tRNA from 1 species
GUCGGGGUGGCUCAGCCUGGUGGAGCGUCGGACUCAUAGGGUCCCGCGGGCAGAACGACCACGGCGUUCCUGAGGCAUCCGGAGGUCGCGGGUUCGAACCCCGCCCCCGACA